CAGGGGACUGGGAGACACAAGAAAUGGGACACAGACCAUCAUCAACACAGGUUGGGGUUCCUGCAUCCUGGGAGGCAUCAUCAGGGGAGAGACGAAUGGCCAGGGAGAGAUCAAAGCCAGUCAAGCAAAGAGGUCUGAGCCCCCCGUGGCUGACCAGGUGGAGCUGCCUGUCCAGG